rnacentral:tRNA from 1 species
ACCGUUGACAUAACGGUUCAUAUAACGAAUGAUAUUCCGGACCAGCCUCCUAAGCUGUAGGUCGUAGGUUCAAUUCCUAUCUGGG